rnacentral:rRNA from 1 species
CUACGGGGGGCACCAGUGAGGAAUAUUGGUCAAUGGACGAGAGUCUGAACCAGCCAAGUCGCGUGAAGGAAGAAGGUUCUAUGGAUUGUAAACUUCUUUUGUAAGGGAAUAAAAAGAGUUACGUGUAACUUAUUGUAUGUACUUUACGAAUAAGGAUCGGCUAACUCCGUGCCAGCAGCCGCGGUAAUACGGAGGAUCCAAGCGUUAUCCGGAUUUAUUGGGUUUAAAGGGUGCGUAGGCGGUUGUUUAAGUCAGUGGUGAAAGUUUGCAGCUCAACUGUAAAAUUGCCAUUGAAACUGAAUGACUUGAGUGUAAAUGAGGUAGGCGGAAUGUGUUGUGUAGCGGUGAAAUGCUUAGAUAUAACACAGAACACCAAUUGCGAAGGCAGCUUACUAGGAUACAACUGACGCUGAGGCACGAAAGCGUGGGGAUCAAACAGGAUUAGAUACCCUAGUAGUC